rnacentral:lncRNA from 1 species
AGCCCUCAGCGUACAUGCCAGCUAAUUACAGAUGCAGGAGCAAACCCCUGGCCCAUACAUCAAUUUUGAGUCUUGCUCUAUGGCCCAGACUGGAGUGCAGUGGCGUGAUCUCAGCUCACUUCAACCUCCACCUCCCGGGUUCGAGAGAGAUUCUCCUGCCUCAUCCUCCCGAGUAGCUGGGAUCACCGGCGCCCACAACCACACCCGGCUAAUUUUUGUACUUUUAGUGGAGACAGGGUUUCACCAUGUUGGCUAGGCUGGUCACAAACUCCCGACCUCAGGUUAUCCAUCUGCCUUGGCCUCCCAAAGUGCUGGGAUUACAGGCGUGAGCCCCCGCACCUGGCCAAGAUCAGCUAGAUUUUGGAAGCAUUGCCUUCUACAGAAUCCACAGUAGUCCGAAGCUCUUCUACGGUUUUUGUCAAACUUUGAUUUUCCAUCUCUAGCUUCAAUAAUCUACUUGAUGUCAACUCAUUCACCUCAUGGCCCAGGGAUUUCUGGGGUGCUAUAAUAUUGAAAAAUACACCAUUGUAUUUACUCUUUACUGUUUUUACUAUGUUUACUCUUUACUAUUUAAAAAGUUGAGUGUAUAUGCAUUGCAUCAUCUGAUCCUUAACUUUAUUAAAAAUUCAAUGAGGUUAUAUAA